GAUACAACCAAGAAAGGAGGCAAGAAGAAGGGUGGUUCCAUGCAGACUGUGUCCUCCCAGUUCAGGAGAACUUACAUAAGCUGAUGACCAACUUGAGGAGCACUCAUCCUCACUUUGUACGCUGCCUGAUCCCCAACGAGUCAAAGACUCCAGGUCUGAUGGAGAACUUCCUGGUUAUCCACCAGCUCAGGUGUAAUGGUGUUCUGGAGGGGAUCAGGAUCUGCAGGAAGGGCUUCCCCAGUAGAAUCAUCUAUGCUGACUUCAA